rnacentral:sRNA from 1 species
UGCAUCUGCAGCUCAUGAGGAUGAGAACCUCCGGGGGCAGGGAGGUUCGACUCGAGCGAAGCGAGAGAACGUUGCGCCAGCAACGGCC